rnacentral:lncRNA from 8 species
GCUUCACAUGGAAAAAAACAGGUCACAUGUCUUAGAAAUGUUUCACUUACAGGCUUGGACUACUCUGCAGGUGACGUGAAAAGGAUCAAGGACAAGAGUAAAGGAAAGGUUGGGGGAGAGAAACAUUGCAUUGAAUCUCAGGACCACAAAUGCAGAACCACACCGGAAAAAGAAAAAGACAUUAAACAAAGACCUAACUCGAAAGCAAAGGAGACCCAGCAGAAAGAGAAGAAGAGCAUCCAUCCAGCUGUGGCGGCCCUGCAGCUGUUCACUCUCUUCUGCUGUUGUGGGAAAGUCAAGCUGAGGAAGACUCGUCCCUCUCAGAACAGACAGAAUAGAAAGGACCAGGACAAAGAUAAUGCAUCUGAUACUGGCUCGGACUUGUCUGGAGGUGAUGUUACAACCAAAAGGGUAAAGGACAAGAGUAAGGGAAAGGUGGGGAGGGAGAAAAACCAGACUGAAGUUCAGCUGUUGAAAUCAUCUCAAGACCACAAACCCAUAAGUACAACACCAGAAACAGACAAGGGAACUAAUUCGGGACAAAGACCUAACUCUAUAAAUCGAAGGACACCACGACAAGUGAAGACCCCUGUGGAGGAAAUUUACAUAAUACCUGACUCUCCGACUCUACAACGUGCCCACAGCUCCCUCUCCCAGUUAUCCCUGGCUAGGAACCUGGCCAUCCUCCCCCUGGAGUGGCAGCUACCUGGAGUCCCUCUGACCACCUCGUCUAUGGCAACUAGGACAGAGAGAAAGCCAUCCUCUACCAACAGUUCGACACAUGCACAGAUGGAAACACAGACAACAGAUAUGAACACAGACUCACAGACCACUGCCACCUCUCAGAGCCAGAUCUCCACGGUCUCAUCGGAGACCAUGAUAGAUGUUCACACGUCAGACUCCAUUACCCAGACCUCCACUCUUGACAUGGCACUGACCCCUGAGAGCACUAAGGACAUGAUCACUACUGAUGAGGAUGUGAAGGAUGACUCUGCUAAAGAUUUGAUCUCCACCCUAACAGACACCUCUAUGGAGAAAUCCAUCAGUGAGAUCAGCCUGAAAGACCUCAUCGCUGAGUAUGAAGAUGACAAUGAGCUGAAGGAUAUGGCUGCCUCCGCUAUCCCUGAUACUGAUAAUGCCAAUGAGGAUGCAAAGCUGCUGGAGCAUGCAGCACUUUAUGACUUCAUGUUGACAGUGGAGACCGAGCUGCCUCUGUAUCUCUGAAGAGUCAAUAGGCCUAAUGAACAUUUCAAUGUAGCAAAAGCUAUACUAUGAUCAAUUAAUAAAACAUUUUUUAUGCAGCAAAUUUUCACUACUGUU